rnacentral:rRNA from 1 species
AUGGCCGGCGAGAGCGACGACCGGGGCGCCGCGCGCGCGCCUCACGUCGCGCUGCUCUCGUCGCCGGGCAUGGGCCACGUGGUGCCGGUGGCGGAGCUGGCGCGGCGGCUCCACGCCGAGCACGGCUUCACGGCCACCGUCGUCACCUACGCCAGCUCCGACUCCGCGGCGCAGCGCGCGUUCCUGGCGUCCCUCCCGCCGGCCGUCGGCUCCGCGUUGCUCCCGGCCGUCCCGCUCGACGACCUCGUCGCCGCCGGCGCCGCCAUCGAGACGCUGCUCUCCGUCGAGGCCCAGCGCUCCGUGCCGGCGCUGGCGGCGCUCCUUGCGGGCCUUGCGAAGGACGGCAGCCUCGUCGCCUUCGUGGCGGACCUCUUCGGCGCCGACACGCUGCGGGCGGCGCGCGACGCCGGCGUGCCGGCGUACCUCUUCUUCCCCUCCAACCUGCUGAUGCUCUCCCUCAUGCUCCACCUCCCGCGCCUCGACGGUGAACUGGAGGGCGAGUUCCGCGACCAGCCGGAGCCCGUCAGGCUGCCCGGCUGCGUGGCCGUGCCCGGCGCCGACAUCCUGCAACCGCUCCAGGACAGGACCAGCGGCGCCUACCGCUGGAUGGUGCACCACGGCGAGAGGUACCGCGACGCGGACGGCAUACUUGUGAACACGUUUGACGCCAUCGAGCCCAACGCGGCGGCGAUCCUCCGGCAGCCCGAGCCGGGGCGCCCGCCGGUGUACCCCAUCGGGCCAGUGAUACGGCAGCCUGACGACGGCGACGACGAUGCCACCGGCUGUAUCAGGUGGCUCGACACACAACCCGACAAGUCCGUGUUGUUCGUCUCGUUCGGCAGCGGAGGUGCGCUGCCCGCGGCGCAGAUGGACGAGUUGGCGCGCGGGCUGGAGCUCUCCGGACAACGGUUUCUGUGGGUCGUGAGGAGUCCCACCGACAGUGGGGCCGACCCCGGUGCCAACUAUUACGACGGGUCGAAGAGCAAGGACUAUCCACUCAAGUUCCUGCCAUCUGGGUUCCUAGAGAGGACCAAGGAGGUGGGCCUGGUGGUCCCAUCCUGGGCCCCGCAAGUCAGGGUCCUCGGCCACCGGGCCACGGGAGCCAUGUUGACGCAUUGCGGAUGGAACUCGGUGCUAGAGAGCGUGAUGCACGGUGUGCCGAUGAUCGCGUGGCCUCUAUACGCCGAGCAGAGGGAGAAUGCUGUGAUGUUACAUGAAGAAACCAAGGUGGCACUAAGACCAAAGGUUCGAGGAGCAGAUGGGAUGAUUCUUGAUGAAGACAUCACGAAGGUUGUGAAUGAUAUGAUGAACAGUGAAGAGAGGGAUGUGAUGUGUACGAAGGUGACAGAGCUCCAGAAAGCGGCAAGGAGUGGACUGGCUGCAAGUGGCAUGUCACACAAAACGCUUACUGAGGUGGUGAGGAAGUGGAAGGAGCGUAUGUUUGCAUGA